AAGUCGAACGAAGUAGCAAUACUUAGUGGCAGACGGGUGAGUAAUAUGUAGGUAUCUUCCCAUUGGUGAGGAAUAACACGAGGAAACUUGUGCUAAUACCUCAUAAGUCUUUACGGAGAAAGCUUUAUGCGCCGAUGGAUGAGCCUGCACUUGAUUAGUUUGUUGGUAGGGUAAUGGCCUACCAAGACAAUGAUCAAUAGCUGAUUUGAGAGGAUGAUCAGCCACAUUGGGACUGAGACACGGCCCAAACUCCUACGGGAGGCAGCAGUAGGGAAUCUUGCACAAUGGGGGAAACCCUGAUGCAGCGAUGCCGCGUGAGUGAAGAAGGCCUUUGGGUUGUAAAGCUCUUUCGUCGGGGAAGAAAAUGACUGUACCCGAAUAAGAAGGUCCGGCUAACUUCGUGCCAGCAGCCGCGGUAAUACGAAGGGACCUAGCGUAGUUCGGAAUUACUGGGCUUAAAGAGUUCGUAGGUGGUUAAAAAAGUUGGUGGUGAAAUCCCAGAGCUUAACUCUGGAACUGCCAUCAAAACUUUUUAGCUAGAGUAUGAUAGAGGAAAGCAGAAUUUCUAGUGUAGAGGUGAAAUUCGUAGAUAUUAGAAAGAAUACCGAUUGCGAAGGCAGCUUUCUGGAUCAUUACUGACACUGAGGAACGAAAGCAUGGGUAGCGAAGAGGAUUAGAUACCCUCGUAGUCCAUGCCGUAAACGAUGUGUGUUAGACGUUGGAAAUUUAUUUUCUGUGUCGCAGCGAAAGCAGUAAACACACCGCCUGGGGAGUACGACCGCAAGGUUAAAACUCAAAUGAAUUGACGGGGACCCGCACAAGUAGUGGAGCAUGUGGUUUAAUUCGAAGAUACGCGCAGAACCUUACCAACACUUGACAUGUUCGUCGCGACUUUAAGAGAUUAAAG
rnacentral:rRNA from 1 species